UGACAGUACGUGUAUUGGGUAUAAGGAAAUAGCGUGACAGAGGGGGGAGGGGGGGUCUAGAAAUCCCGAAAAACGAUGGACGUAAUUUUUGAAUCUUCCCAAAGGCAAAAUCCCCGUAGCUCACAACAAAAACACGUUCAAAAUUGUUUGUGCUGAAAACUGAUGCGUUACACAAUUUCUUACUGAUUUAUUUGCUAUCUUCGCGUUGUCGUGUAAUUUCGAACGAUUGCACGCCAAAAUUUUCGUAACCUUUUGCUAGUUUUACACGUUUUACUUAAGUAAUAACUUAUGAUAAUGACUAAUUCGCAGAUGUCGUGCACUUCCCAGAUCUGUCAGAGUGCCCAAAAGUGUCAAUUUCCCAAACAUGUCAAAUUCAUGUGGGCUACGGCACAUCUAUUCGUGGUUGACGUCCGCGCUACCCCGCUGGUGAAAAUAAAUAACCACUCCAUCGUCGCGGAAAAACGUAAAUCCGAGAAACAAAUUUCACUAGUCCACUAAUAAAAUAACGAUGCAGCUUCCACCCAGAAGGAACCUCGGAAAGAACAGGAUCUUAUUGUCGCAGAAAAUCGUCGGAAGAUCGGUGCCGAAUAGGCCGAGGCAAACUGACCUGAUUCGAAUCAGAUCCGACAACAUCAGUGAUUACUUAGAACAGCGUUAUAAGGAGGAAUUGCUCACAGGCCGGAUAACCCGCUCGGAUUUGGUCAACCGAUUGUAGCAUCUAGGCUACUCUCACUGCAACGACGGUGCCAGCAAAGAAGGAAGAGCCAUCAGAGGAUAGUUCAGACGACCACGAGGAAGAAUCCAGGUCAGCACCAGCGAAAUCUGCAGCUGUAUCGAAGAAGCUCCACCAGUGAAAACUUGGUGAAUCUCCAAGUGUCCUGCUCUAAUUAACUGUUGCUGUCGCGGCUGCCAGCAACCAGCUUCAGCCAAGAAGAAAGGCAAGUGGAGAGGAAAUAAGUAAAACCACCGGCAAAAUGAAGACAUUCUUCAAAGAAAAAUCUAGAAUCGUCCAACUUGGAUUCUUCGGAUUCCGACGCGAAACUCGAAGAGGAAAAUGCCGGCAAGAGGAAAAUAUGGCAAGGACUGAUAAGUGUCGGUUCAACAACUAUGCCGGUGUUCAGACGUGCGGUCAAUGAACGUAUGGUUUUUUAAGGUUUUAAGAACUCACCGGCUCGCGUACAAAAUGCUCUUGGAAACGCCAAACUCCAACGCCGAACAACUUGGAGAUGCCGAUGGUGCAAGUGAAGUUGGAUAAACUACUAAAUAACUAAUAAAACGACUAAUUAGAUGAGCAUCCAAAUUUAAUUGAUAGUUUGUUUUUUAUUAAGAGAAUGAUAGUUUCGUUUCAGUAUAACCACUAUAACCUUAACAUUGUGACGGUUAUGCUGCCUUUUUGGAUUUUUUUUUACUUAGAAACGGAACCAUCAUUCCCUUUGAUUUAAUUAAUUUAUUAUUUCUUUUUAAGUGGUUCAAAUACAUUGGAACAAUAUGACAUACGGUUGAAAUACCCUGAAAAACCAUUAAUCAACAAUAACACAUACAUCGUUCGUUUUUAUUGCAAGUUUAAUGUUAAACUGUGCAUGAACUGAUUGGUUUACAGUGAAAGGGAUGAAAAAAUGGAUAGUAUACUGACCUUCUGACAAACUGUUUACGAAAAAUUUUGUUCGAGAAAAUCGGCGUUUUUUUAUGGUAACAUAACUUAACCGCCUAUUCCCCAUAUUGUAAUUUGCGCGAGAACCGUCUGUGAAACUGUUGAAAACGUUCAUGGUACGGUUGAGUUAUUGUUACUCUGGAUGUUAUACGAUACUGUUGAGGUACUGUAGUAAAUAGUUGCUAACAGUAUGGUGAACAGUACUAGUAUUGUUCAUGGUUAUGCGGGUUGU